rnacentral:rRNA from 1 species
AUAAACCGGAGGAAGGUGGGGAUGACGUCAAGUCAUCAUGGCCCUUACGAGUAGGGCUACACACGUGCUACAAUGGCAGAUACAAAGUGAAGCGAACUCGCGAGAGCAAGCGGACCACAUAAAGUCUGUCGUAGUCCGGAUUGGAGUCUGCAACUCGACUCCAUGAAGUCGGAAUCGCUAGUAAUCGUAGAUCAGAAUGCUACGGUGAAUACGUUCCCGGGCCUUGUACACACCGCCCGUCACACCAUGGGAGUGGGUUGCAAAAGAAGUAGGUAGCUUAACCUUCGGGAGGGCGCUUACCACUUUGUGAUUCAUGACUGGGGUGAAGUCGUAACAAGGUAACCGUAGGGGAACCU